UAUCGGAAAUUAUUAUUCAGCGUUAAAUUGAUAUUGAGUAUUGCAAAUAUUUCCUAAUUUAGGUCAUUCUGUGAAGUUGUUUCUCGAGUAAAUUAGAAAUUUAAUAUAAACUAAAUAGCAUAAGUCAUAUCAAGUUUCAGCAGUUUUUGUGUUUAUGUGUACAAACCUAUGUUAUUGCCUAGUUAUUAUUUGAAUAACUAUGAAAAUUUAACACUAUUACUGCCAGUGGGAUCUUAUAACCGACUACACAAUGAAUAUACUUGCUCAAAUUUGCCUACUAAUUUUAUUUGCAAGUGUGAAAUCUUAUGAAAUUCAGUACAAAAACACGCAGCUAGAAGAUUUGGCCUCCUGGCGUCAUUCCUCUGUUAAACGACAAGCUAUAAAGACGAGUGAAGACACGAUACAACAUGAAGCUAUAAAACUGCCAACAAACAGUAGUGUGAUAGGUUUAAAUGAUAUUCAGGUUGUAAAAAACGAUGAUUCGAAGACUGCGCCUCAGGAAAAUGAUAUUGUGCAACCACCUGGGAUCACCAACUCUACCACGAAAUCUGAAACCAACAGCGAAGCAAAAAAUGAUGUUACAGAAGCUGUAAAAGAAUCUUCCCCCAACACAACAGGGCAAGUAGCACCGAGUGCUAUAAAAUCAGACACCGUAACAUCAAAACCAACAGACUCAGUCAACAUUUUACCGCUGAACAAUCCCGGAGUUGUGAAACGAGGACUGAUAGUUUUUGGUGGAUUUGCGUUGCUCGCUGUGGCAUAUUUUGUAUUCUACAGGCGGAAAGGAAAGAACUAUGAUUCCAACAACACACACAACAAUAAUGACAAUAACCAGUUCAGAUACGGAGUGCUGCAGUCGGAAGAGGGUAGGGACAAUCUUGAACUUUCUAGAAUACCGUUAACAAUGGAGUCAGAUGAAGAUGAUGAGGAUGACCUAGAGAUAUUUGAUUUGGAACAGAAGAAGCAGUCUCUAUCGUAUGUGAACUUACAAGCGAAUGACGAAGAUAUUGUAUUCCAUAAUAGAAAGGAUGAGUCCAAAAAUAAUCUUCUGUUAGAUAUUGAAGAAGGACCAUCGGAUAUGAUAAAUUGGUCGAGCACUAGUAACAAAUCCAUUUUAUAACUUGUUAAUGGCGGUAACUAAAUUAGUUUUAAAGUCCCGGUUUCACCAACACCUGCUAAAGUUUACCAUUGAUUAAAAGUUGUGUUGUCACUGUUAUUUUUUGAUGAACAAAAGGGAAUGCUAAUAUUUUGACAGUAGAUUAACACUCUUUGGUGUGGCGUUGGUCAAAUUCGCAUUAAGCCUACAGAACUCUAAUUUAUAAGACAAGAUUAAUGAAACAUUCACAAAUUCAAAUAAAAAAAAUAUUUACAAAAAUACAUUAAGUAUAUCGCUUGUGUAAAAUAUAAUGACAAAGCUAAAUAUGAGAUAAUAUAGCUUAGGAUUCUAAUAAGAAAAUAAUUUUAAUAAGGAUUUACUUACUUAUAUCUUUACUCUUUAACCUUCUUAAUUAAGUAAUAUAUUUUGUUAUAAUCCUAAACAACAUGUCUUACCAAUGUCUAAUAAUAUAACAAGUUUUAUAGUUUAGUAAUAAUAAUAAAUUAUUAUCCUGUGCUCCUCACUUUUCCUGUGCAAAAUUUAUCGACUCUAAUUAUAAUUACUUAUUAGUUAUUAUAGUAGGAUAAAAUUGUGUACCUACUGUAAGUUGAGUGUUGAAAGCGAUAAAAAAUAAUUAAUUGAUACAAAAUUCAAAAAUGGGGAUCAGUCCAGUCAACCCCAGUCACAAUAAACAAUAAUUUCCUAGAAUUUAUUUAUAAAAAAAAAACGUGUGAUGUCGUAUUAACUAACAAAGACAAACUUCAAAGAAUGUAAAAUGAUUAAAAAAGAUUGGUAGAAAUGGAUUUUAAAAAUAAUUAUUGUAAUAGAAGACUUGUCUCCUUAGAUUUAUUUGUACAGAUCUGAAAAGUUAAGACAUGGGUUGUAUUUCAAGGUAAAUAUUUCAUAAAUUUGAAGAAUUGUACAGAAGACCAAUUAUUAUGACAUUGAAACCAUGGCUAACUUUAACUAAGAUCUGUGUAAGUGCGCUUUAGAUUAAUAAAAAAUACAACGCAACAAUUAGAUACUUAAUCAAAAAGUAGAUAUUAAUUUGUAUGAGACUUUACGUCAUAAUAAAGCUUGAAUUACUCAAGCAAUGAGCCUAAGUAACAUUCCAAUAACUCCUUCAGACUCUAAGGGCCGCGCCACACCGGAAUGGCGGAAUGGCGGCGCGGCGAGCACA